GAUGAACGCUGGCGGCGUGCUUAACACAUGCCAGUCGAACGGUGAAGGCGGAGCUUGCUCUGCUGGAUCAGUGGCGAACGGGUGAGUAACACGUGAGCAAUCUGCCCCUGACUCUGGGAUAAGCGCUGGAAACGGCGUCUAAUACUGGAUACGAGCUGCGAAGGCAUCUUCAGCAGCUGGAAAGAACUUCGGUCAGGGAUGAGCUCGCGGCCUAUCAGCUUGUUGGUGAGGUAACGGCUCACCAAGGCGUCGACGGGUAGCCGGCCUGAGAGGGUGACCGGCCACACUGGGACUGAGACACGGCUCAGACUCCUACGGGAGGCAGCAGUGGGGAAUAUUGCACAAUGGGCGAAAGCCUGAUGCAGCAACGCCGCGUGAGGGACGACGGCCUUCGGGUUGUAAACCUCUUUUAGCAGGGAAGAAGCGAAAGUGACGGUACCUGCAGAAAAAGCGCCGGCUAACUACGUG
rnacentral:rRNA from 1 species